rnacentral:tRNA from 1 species
GCUGGAGUCGUCUAGUGGCAAUGACAAGAGACUGUAAAUCUCUCGCGCUUCGCGCUUCGUAGGUUCGAGUCCUACCUCCAGCACCA